rnacentral:rRNA from 1 species
GACCUCAAGUCAAGUGAGAAUACCCGCUGAACUUAAGCAUAUCAAUAAGCGGAGGAAAAGAAACUAACAAGGAUUCCCCUAGUAACGGCGAGUGAAGCGGGAAGAGCACAAAUUUUAAAUCUACCUGGUUUUACUAGGUCGAGUUGUAAUUUGAAGGAACGUUUUUAAUGUUCCGGGUUGGUUUAAAUCCUUUGGGAUAAGGUAUCAUGGAGGGUGAGAAUCCCGUGUAUAUCAACCGCUGGGAUGUUAUUAAUACGUUCUCUAAGAGUCGAGUUGUUUGGGAAUGCAGCUCUAAAUGGGUGGUAAAUUUCAUCUAAUGCUAAAUAUAAGCGAGAGACCGAUAGCGAACAAGUACCGUGAGGGAAAGAUGAAAAGUACUUUGAAAAGAGAGUUAAAUAGUACGUGAAAUUGUUGAAAGGGAAACGAUUGAAG